rnacentral:rRNA from 1 species
UACGUAGGGAGCAAGCGUUGUCCGGAAUCAUUGGGCGUAAAGCGCGCGUAGGUGGCUUCGUAAGUCCGUUGUGAAAGUCAAAGGCUCAACCUUUGAAAGCCGAUGGAUACUGCGGGGCUAGAGUACGGAAGAGGCGAGUGGAAUUCCUGGUGUAGCGGUGAAAUGCGCAGAUAUCAGGAGGAACACCGAUGGCGAAGGCAGGUCUCUGGGCCAUAACUGACGCUGAGAAGCGAAAGCAUGGGGAGCGAACAGG